AUAUCAAUAAGCGGAGGAAAAGAAACCAACAGGGAUUGCCCCAGUAACGGCGAGUGAAGCGGCAACAGCUCAAAUUUGAAAUCUGGCUCUCGGGCCCGAGUUGUAAUUUGUAGAGGAUGCUUUUGGUGAGGUGCCUUCCGAGUUCCCUGGAACGGGACGCCAUAGAGGGUGAGAGCCCCGUCUGGUUGGACGCCGAACCUCUGUAAAGCUCCUUCGACGAGUCGAGUAGUUUGGGAAUGCUGCUCUAAAUGGGAGGUAUAUGUCUUCUAAAGCUAAAUACCGGCCAGAGACCGAUAGCGCACAAGUAGAGUGAUCGAAAGAUGAAAAGAACUUUGAAAAGAGAGUUAAACAGUACGUGAAAUUGUUGAAAGGGAAGCGCUUGUGACCAGACUUGGGCUUGGUUGAUCAUCCGGGGUUCUCCCCGGUGCACUCUUCCGGCCCAGGCCAGCAUCAGUUCGCCCUGGGGGACAAAGGCAUCGGGAACGUGGCUCUCUCCGGGGAGUGUUAUAGCCCGUUGCGUAAUACCCUGCGGCGGACUGAGGUUCGCGCAUUCGCAAGGAUGCUGGCGUAAUGGUCAUCAGUGACCCGUCUUGAAACACGGACCAAGGAGUCGUCUUCGUAUGCGAGUGUUCGGGUGUCAAACCCCUACGCGAAAUGAAAGUGAACGCAGGUGAGAGCUUCGGCGCAUCAUCGACCGAUCCUGAUGUUAUCGGAUGGAUUUGAGUAAGAGCAUACGGGGCCGGACCCGAAAGAAGGUGAACUAUGCCUGUGUAGGGUGAAGCCAGAGGAAACUCUGGUGGAGGCUCGCAGCGGUUCUGACGUGCAAAUCGAUCGUCAAACAUGGGCAUGGGGGGCGAAAGACUAAUCGAACCUUCUAGUAGCUGGUUUCCGCC
rnacentral:rRNA from 2 species